rnacentral:rRNA from 1 species
AAAGCGUGCGCAGGCGGUUUUGUAAGUCUGUUGUGAAAUCCCCGGGCUCAACCUGGGAAUGGCAAUGGAGACUGCAAGGCUAGAGUUUGGCAGAGGGGGGUAGAAUUCCACGUGUAGCAGUGAAAUGCGUAGAUAUGUGGAGGAACACCGAUGGCGAAGGCAGCCCCCUGGGUCAAAACUGACGCUCAUGCACGAAAGCGUGGGGAGCAAACAGGAUUAGAUACCCUGGU